UACGUAGGUGGCAAGCGUUGUCCGGAUUUAUUGGGCGUAAAGAGCUCGUAGGCGGCUCGUCGCGUCUGCCGUGAAAACCCGCAGCUCAACUGCGGGCUUGCGGUUGAUACGGGCGGGCUGGAGUUCGGUAGGGGAGACUGGAAUUCCUGGUGUAGAGGUGAAUUCGUAGAUAUCAAAGCGGAACACCGGUGGCGAAGGCGGCCUUCUGGACAGUGACUGACGCUGAGACGCGAAAGCGUGGGGAGCAAACAGG
rnacentral:rRNA from 1 species